rnacentral:rRNA from 1 species
UACGUAGGGUGCGAGCGUUGUCCGGAAUUAUUGGGCGUAAAGAGCUCGUAGGCGGUGUGUCGCGUCGGCCGUGAAAACCUGGGGCUUAACUCUGGGCGUGCGGUCGAUACGGGCAUCACUAGAGUUCGGCAGGGGAGACUGGAAUUCCUGGUGUAGCGGUGAAGUGCGCAGAUAUCAGGAGGAACACCGGUGGCGAAGGCGGGUCUCUGGGCCGAUACUGACGCUGAGGAGCGAAAGCAUGGGUAGCGAACAGG